GGGGAAAGGUAGUCUUUUCCCCAGACUUUUUGUUCUCACUUGUGAAAUAGGACUGAGCCCAGCACCUGCCCACCUUGUGUUAGUACUGCUGGGAUUCACUGUGAUGUUCUAUGUCAAGCACUCUCCCCAGGGCUGAGACAGAGAAAACGCCCCGUCACCGUUAGCAAUUAUUCCUGUCAGCUAUUCCAGAAGACCAAGGGGACUCGCAUGAGAUGUCCCAAAAAUCGGCAGAAUGGGACACCGACGAUCUCCAUGCUGCCCAUCUCCCCCGAUGGGGAUGCUGUGCCGGCUCCAAGUUAAAGAGAUUUUACUUUUCUAACAGUUUUAGGUUUUAGUUUUCUCACAGUUGGCUGUGGAGAUUUCUCAGGAGACUCUUUUAAAAACUUCUCCUAGGAUGUUUUGCGUCGCUCCUGCCCCGAUUGACGUACAAGAUCAGUAUUAAGCUUGAAACUCUGCUGCUCACCCUAAACAGGAGAGGCUAAGAAAUAUCCAUGGUUUUCCCUAAAAUGGCUGUCCUCUCAAGCCUUUCAGGAAUUCUUUUGUUCUGACAGAUUUAACCUGAAGGUACAUUUAACUCACUCCUGACCAAAUAACACAGAGACCACAUCCCAACACCAGUACCUGCUGGGCACCCUCUGGAAACUCAACAUGCCUGGGGACCAGUCCAGCAAAGACAGUCACCAAGUCCUGGCAUGCCGAAGGGUUUGAAGCUAAUAAUCGAGCCAAGGGCCUUUUCUUCUUAGAUUAAAACGUCUGCUAAGAAGUUUCUAGUAAAAUGAGCAAGCCUGUAGUGUAUUCUUACUAGACACUGGGCCAGAGCACCCGCAUCCCUGUGCCAGACCUUCCAGACCUCCCAGAAUUGCCUUUCACAUGCCACCAAGGCAGUUCCCCCCUCACAGAGACUUCAUUCUUCUUAGGGCUUGGACCAUAGCUAGAAGAAUUUAGGCCAGACAAGGUGAAGAUUGUGUAGGCACUGAGUGUGGUCAAACACUCAAGUGGGUUGCAGAAGUUGAGACAGGAAUCUUCUUUGGAGACAUUUCAAAUUAGAAACAAGGAUAUUCUAGUAGUCACUUGAUCUGACGGUGUCAGAAAUACCCAGAUGAUCCCUUGAGUUCUUCCAGCCUUGUACCCUUAGCUCUCAUGACGAAGGGGAAGCAGAGGGGUACAUUUGACCAGUAGCUGUCAACCCCAUAACACUCUCUCCACACACAAGAUUCCCAUCACGCGGAUUGCCUCCCAGUCCAUCUCUGUGCAACCUUCGCACCCUAGCACACCCAAGCACCCUCUCUGUGCGUUCCCUCAAUCCCAAAGCCCCUUAGGCUCAUGCAGCUCACUUGUCCCUGCGAUCACGUAGCAGUAUCUCACACCUGGCUGCCUUUCAUAUCUCUCAGGCUCGCUCAUACGUGGAAAGGAAAAACGCCUUCUAAAGUUCAGUUCAGCACAAGAUCACGAGAAGUAUGAGGCGCCUCCAGCAACCGAUAAUAGAGCACUUGUGGACUAAAGAGAAAGCAAUAUUCUUCAACUCUGCUCCUUGUUUUCUUCUUGAAGAAAACGAUUUUCAAGAGGAAAAGGGUAGAACAAUCAUUGAUAAAAUGAAUUGUAGCCCAAAGUAGAUAAAGAGAUUGUAUAAAGCACUCAGACUGGUUGAUCAGGGAUACAUGAUGGGUUUCACAGAGCUGAGCUUCAGCAGCACACGUGACAGUCUCACUUCCUUGUGGCCAAGCUGGAUUCAGUGCACAAUGGUACCCAAAGUAUGGCGAUUAAUAGAUUAGUAUCAAUCUAGAGUAGUUUUCUGCAACCUUGUGACCCCUGCCCUCCUUGGAUUAACAGACAAAUGUCACAUCUUCCUUUAAUCUUAUUUUAGAUUUCAAACGGUCAACAUGACAACCAACCACAAAAAUCAGACAGAGACAAAGUGCUACUUUGUUUUCAAACUCCACAAGCCCUCCCAGGAGAUUCUGAUACAGAAGAGUGAACUGGAGCUUAGAGACACAUUCACUCAGGAGACCGACGUGCUGAGCACCGCCGAUAUACCAGGCAUGUUCUUGUGACUGGGAAAACUAGGAUGAAAAAACACUCAAAGAUUCAUGCAUUCAUGAAAUAUGCAUCC
ensembl:lncRNA